GAGUGGCGAACGGGUGAGUAACACGUGGGUAAUCUGCCCUGCACUUCGGGAUAAGCCUGGGAAACCGGGUCUAAUACCGGAUAUGAGCUCCUGCCGCAUGGUGGGGGUUGGAAAGUUUUUCGGUGCAGGAUGAGUCCGCGGCCUAUCAGCUUGUUGGUGGGGUAAUGGCCUACCAAGGCGACGACGGGUAGCCGGCCUGAGAGGGUGAUCGGCCACACUGGGACUGAGACACGGCCCAGACUCCUACGGGAGGCAGCAGUGGGGAAUAUUGCACAAUGGGCGGAAGCCUGAUGCAGCGACGCCGCGUGGGGGAUGACGGUCUUCGGAUUGUAAACUCCUUUCAGUAGGGACGAAGCGAGAGUGACGGUACCUGCAGAAGAAGCACCGGCCAACUACGUGCCAGCAGCCGCGGUAAUACGUAGGGUGCAAGCGUUGUCCGGAAUUACUGGGCGUAAAGAGCUCGUAGGCGGUUUGUCGCGUCGUCUGUGAAAUCCUCCAGCUCAACUGGGGGCGUGCAGGCGAUACGGGCAGACUUGAGUACUACAGGGGAGACUGGAAUUCCUGGUGUAGCGGUGAAAUGCGCAGAUAUCAGGAGGAACACCGGUGGCGAAGGCGGGUCUCUGGGUAGUAACUGACGCUGAGGAGCGAAAGCAUGGGGAGCAAACAGGAUUAGAUACCCUGGUAGUCCAUGCCGUAAACGGU
rnacentral:rRNA from 1 species